AACAUCGCGCACCUGCGGGAACCUGCGGAAGGAUCAUUAAAAGGAACGGGGGCCGGAGACGGCACCCCCUACCAACCCGUGUCUACCUUACUCGCGUUGCCUCGGCGGGCCCGCCGUCUCUCCGCUUGCGGGGGGAGGCCGCCGGCGCCUUCGGGCGCUGGCCAGCGCCCGCCAGGGGACCUCUGCAACCCGUGUCAACCGUGGACCCUCUGAGCGGAUAUCAAACAGUCAAAACUUUUA
rnacentral:misc_RNA from 1 species